rnacentral:rRNA from 1 species
CCUACGGGAGGCAGCAGUGAGGAAUAUUGGUCAAUGGGCGAGAGCCUGAACCAGCCAAGUCGCGUGAGGGAUGACGGUCCUAUGGAUUGUAAACCUCUUUUGUCGGGGAACAAAGGCGUCCACGUGUGGACUGAUGAGUGUACCCGAAGAAAAAGCAUCGGCUAACUCCGUGCCAGCAGCCGCGGUAAUACGGAGGAUGCGAGCGUUAUCCGGAUUUAUUGGGUUUAAAGGGUGCGUAGGCGGACAGUCAAGUCAGCGGUAAAAAUGCGGUGCUCAACGCCGUACAGCCGUUGAAACUGGCAGUCUUGAGUGGGCGAGAAGUAUGCGGAAUGCGUGGUGUAGCGGUGAAAUGCAUAGAUAUCACGAAGAACUCCGAUUGCGAAGGCAGCCUACUAAACUGCCACUGACAUUGAUGCUCGAAAGUGUGUGUAUCAAACAGGAUUAGAUACCCUUGUAGUC